UUCUAAUGGAUAUAUGGUACCAGCAAUGCAC
rnacentral:piRNA from 1 species